CGUCAUCAUCCUUUCAGCGCCGCAUGAGGUCGAACACACCUAUUAUUUGCGGGCGCGUGCCUCCGUUUACCUCAGACGACAGUUAUCGUUUCUGUGAUAAAUUCUGAGGUCAUUUUCUUGUUGUGUUUUGAUGUUUUCCAUUGGCUGAAGAAUGAAACACAGACUCUCUGCGUGUUGGGC